rnacentral:rRNA from 1 species
UACGGAGGGUGCAAGCGUUGUUCGGAAUUACUGGGCGUAAAGCGCACGUAGGCGGGUCUGUAUGUCGGUUGUGAAAUCCCCGGGCUUAACCUGGGAAUUGCAGUCGAAACUGCAGAUCUUGAAUGCUUGAGAGGAUGGCGGAAUUCCUGGUGUAGUAGUGAAAUACGUAGAUAUCAGGAAGAACACCCGAGGCGAAGGCGGCUAUCUGGUGAUGCAUUGACGCUGAGGUGCGAAAGCGUGGGGAGCAAACAGG